AGAGUUUGAUCCUGGCUCAGAUUGAACGCUGGCGGCAGGCCUAACACAUGCAAGUCGAACGGUAACAGGAAGCAGCUUGCUGCUUUGCUGACGAGUGGCGGACGGGUGAGUAAUGUCUGGGAAACUGCCUGAUGGAGGGGGAUAACUACUGGAGACGGUAGCUAAUACCGCAUAACGUCGCAAGACCAAAGAGGGGGACCUUCGGGCCUCUUGCCAUCGGAUGUGCCCAGAUGGGAUUAGCUAGUAGGUGGGGUAAAGGCUCACCUAGGCGACGAUCCCUAGCUGGUCUGAGAGGAUGACCAGCCACACUGGAACUGAGACACGGUCCAGACUCCUACGGGAGGCAGCAGUGGGGAAUAUUGCACAAUGGGCGCAAGCCUGAUGCAGCCAUGCCGCGUGUAUGAAGAAGGCCUUCGGGUUGUAAAGUACUUUCAGCGGGGAGGAAGGGAGUAAAGUUAAUACCUUUGCUCAUUGACGUUACCCGCAGAAGAAGCACCGGCUAACUCCGU
rnacentral:rRNA from 1 species